rnacentral:rRNA from 1 species
AUUGAACGCUGGCGGCAGGCCUAACACAUGCAAGUCGAGCGGAUGAAGGGAGCUUGCUCCUGGAUUCAGCGGCGGACGGGUGAGUAAUGCCUAGGAAUCUGCCCGGUAGUGGGGGAUAACGUCCGGAAACGGGCGCUAAUACCGCAUACGUCCUGAGGGAGAAAGUGGGGGAUCUUCGGACCUCACGCUAUCAGAUGAGCCUAGGUCGGAUUAGCUAGUUGGUGGGGUAAAGGCCUACCAAGGCGACGAUCCGUAACUGGUCUGAGAGGAUGAUCAGUCACAAUGGAACUGAGACACGGUCCAGACUCCUACGGGAGGCAGCAGUGGGGAAUAUUGGACAAUGGGCGAAAGCCUGAUCCAGCCAUGCCGCGUGUGUGAAGAAGGUCUUCGGAUUGUAAAGCACUUUAAGUUGGGAGGAAGGGCAGUAAGUUAAUACCUUGCUGUUUUGACGUUACCAACAGAAUAAGCACCGGCUAACUUCGUG